rnacentral:rRNA from 1 species
AGAGUUUGAUCCUGGCUCAGAACGAACGCUGGCGGCAGGCUUAACACAUGCAAGUCGAGCGCCCCGCAAGGGGAGCGGCAGACGGGUGAGUAACGCGUGGGAAUCUACCCAUCCCUACGGAACAACUCCGGGAAACUGGAGCUAAUGCCGUAUACGCCCUUCGGGGGAAAGAUUUAUCGGGGAUGGAUGAGCCCGCGUUGGAUUAGCUAGUUGGUGGGGUAAAGGCCUACCAAGGCGACGAUCCAUAGCUGGUCUGAGAGGAUGAUCAGCCACAUUGGGACUGAGACACGGCCCAAACUCCUACGGGAGGCAGCAGUGGGGAAUAUUGGACAAUGGGCGCAAGCCUGAUCCAGCCAUGCCGCGUGAGUGAUGAAGGUCUUAGGAUUGUAAAGCUCUUUCACCGGAGAAGAUAAUGACGGUAUCCGGAGAAGAAGCCCCGGCUAACUUCGUGCCAGCAGCCGCGGUAAUACGAAGGGGGCUAGCGUUGUUCGGAAUUACUGGGCGUAAAGCGCACGUAGGCGGAUAUUUAAGUCAGGGGUGAAAUCCCAGAGCCCAACUCUGGAACUGCCUUUGAUACUGGGUAUCUUGAGUAUGGAAGAGGUAAGUGGAAUUGCGAGUGUAGAGGUGAAAUUCGUAGAUAUUCGCAGGAACACCAGUGGCGAAGGCGGCUUACUGGUCCAUUACUGACGCUGAGGUGCGAAAGCGUGGGGAAAACAGGAUUAGAUACCCUGGUAGUCCACGCCGUAAACGAUGAAUGUUAGCCGUCGGCAAGUUUACUUGUCGGUGGCGCAGCUAACGCAUUAAACAUUCCGCCUGGGGAGUACGGUCGCAAGAUUAAAACUCAAAGGAAUUGACGGGGGCCCGCACAAGCGGUAGAGCAUGUGGUUUAAUUCGAAGCAACGCGCAGAACCUUACCAGCCCUUGACAUGCCCGGCUAGCUACAGAGAUGUAGUGUUCCCUUCGGGGACCGGGACACAGGUGCUGCAUGGCUGUCGUCUGCUCGUGUCGUGAGAUGUUGGGUUAAGUCCCGCAACGAGCGCAACCCUCGCCCUUAGUUGCCAGCAUUCAGUUGGGCACUCUAAGGGGACUGCCGGUGAUAAGCCGAGAGGAAGGUGGGGAUGACGUCAAGUCCUCAUGGCCCUUACGGGCUGGGCUACACACGUGCUACAAUGGUGGUGACAGUGGGCAGCGAAGGGGCGACCCCGAGCUAAUCUCCAAAAGCCAUCUCAGUUCGGAUUGCACUCUGCAACUCGAGUGCAUGAAGUUGGAAUCGCUAGUAAUCGCGGAUCAGCACGCCGCGGUGAAUACGUUCCCGGGCCUUGUACACACCGCCCGUCACACCAUGGGAGUUGGUUUUACCCGAAGGUAGUGCGCUAACCGCAAGGAGGCAGCUAACCACGGUAGGGUCAGCGACUGGGGUGAAGUCGUAACAAGGUA